rnacentral:lncRNA from 1 species
ACAACAAAAAACAAACAUUGCUUUCAAAUUAUAUGGCACGUUAUUUUUGUUGUGUAAUAUAGAAGUAGCUAGGUUUGCAUAUACUCUGUUUUGAUUGGACGAGUUCGCAGGGCGCGCGGAGAUCACGGAAUCCACGUGUACAGUUUAUGAAUGGAGGCUACUAUCGAGAGUUUAUCUUAAAUUGUAAUAACAAAAUAAGUCCGAAAGUACAUUUUCCUUAUGCUGAUAUCAAAAUGGAUUAAGAUUUCGGAAUGCGUGGACUUACACGAAGGAUAUUUGGUCUAUGGGAAAAUCUAUGAGGAAUAUAUUUAUUCCUAAGAGCUGUAAAGAAAGGACAAAUUAAGAGUCACAGAGACGGACCCGGGAACAGAAAGCAGAAAUGGAAUCGGCCGGAUGAAUUUUUACAUGUGCGAUUUUUCACGGACGCUUGCACGGACACAGACACAUAUUUCUACAUGUAAACAGAUCUGUCACUUCGUUUAUACUGCAUACUUGAACUUUACGAGGCCUAAAUCGGUGUCUAUAUGACGGAUUACAUAUCUACAUGUUAGCAACGUAGCUAAUAACAUUGUGAUAGUAACUAUAUAUGUAGUUUAUAACAUUCCACAGUGGUAAAACUGUAUACAAUUGCUCAUAAGAGUUAUCUAUUUUUUUUUUAUAAAAGUAUACACUUAUUAAAUGGCUUGCCGACCGGUAGUGAAAACAAUUGCCCAAAAUAGAAAUGUUUGUCAAAAAGUGUUUUAUCUUAUCGCAUCAGAAAUUAAUUUCAUUCUGUCAUUUUUUCAAGUGUUAACUCUUAUCAACACGAAAAUUAUAGCGUUAAACUUUAGACCAAUUAUAUAUCACAAAUAUGGAGGUGUGUGUGCGGGGUGGG